rnacentral:rRNA from 1 species
AUUGAACGCUGGCGGCAGGCCUAACACAUGCAAGUCGAGCGGAGGGGCGGACGGGUGAGUAAUGCCUAGGAAUCUGGCUGGUCGUGGGGGAUAACGUCCGCUAACGGGCGCUAAUACUGCUUCCUUUCACUUGAGCCUAGGUCGGAUUAGCUAGUUGGUGGGGUAAAGGUCUACCCAGGCGACGAUCCGUAACUGGUCUGAGAGGAUGAUCAGUCACACUGGAACUGAGACACGGUCCAGACUCCUACGGGAGGCAGCAGUGGGGAAUAUUGGACAAUGGGCGAAAGCCUGAUGCAGCCAUGCCGCGUGUGUGAAGAAGGUCUUCGGAUUGUAAAGCACUUUAAGUUGGGAGGCGUUACCAACAGAAUAAGCACCGGCUAACUUCGUGCCAGCAGCCGCGGUAAUUC